UAGAUAUUCUUUGGUUUUGGAUAGGGGGAAUUUUUGAAGGAAAACACCAUGGCCUGGACAUUGGUUUUCUUUUCACUUCUCAGUUCUUUCUCAUGUGUCACUUCACAGCCCACCUUGACUCAGUCUGUCUCCCAGUCUGGAUCUCCAGGAUUGACAAUUAAACUCUCCUGUGCCAUCAGUAGCGAUCCAAACUACAUCGGCUGGAUUCGGCAGAGAUCUGGGGAAACCCCUCGCUUUGUGCACUGUGAUGGCUGCAGCAGCAGGGGACCAGGGAUCCCAGACCGAUUCACGGGAACCCGAUCAGGCAACAACGGCUACUUAACCAUCACCAAUCUUCAGGCUGAAGACGAGGCAGAUUAUUACUGUUACAUGUGGUAUGGCGGUGGUGCAGUGUUCCACGGUGAGACAAUUUAA